rnacentral:tRNA from 1 species
GCCGGGGUGGUGAAACUGGUAGACACGCUGGAUUCAAAAUCCAGUUCCUUCGGGAGUGCCGGUUCGAUUCCGGCCCUCGGUACCA